UACGUAGGGUGCAGGCGUUAAUCGGAAUUACUGGGCGUAAAGCGCGUGUAGGCGGCACGGCAAGUCGGAUGUGAAAGCCCGCGGCUCAACCGUGGAAGUGCACUCGAAACUGCCGAGCUAGAGUCUCGGAGAGGAAGGUGGAAUGCUUGGUGUAGAGGUGAAAUUCGUAGAUAUCAAGCAGAACACCUGUGGCGAAGGCGGCCUUCUGGACGAUGACUGACGCUGAGACGCGAAAGCGUGGGGAGCAAACAGG
rnacentral:rRNA from 1 species